UUAAGCGACUAAGCGUACACGGUGGAUGCCCUGGCAGUCAGAGGCGAUGAAGGACGUGCUAAUCUGCGAAAAGCGUCGGUAAGGUGAUAUGAACCGUUAUAACCGGCGAUGUCCGAAUGGGGAAACCCAGUGCAAUUCGUUGCACUAUCGUUAACUGAAUACAUAGGUUAACGAGGCGAACCGGGGGAACUGAAACAUCUAAGUACCCCGAGGAAAAGAAAUCAACCGAGAUUCCCCCAGUAGCGGCGAGCGAACGGGGAGCAGCCCAGAGUCUGAAUCAGCUUGUGUGUUAGUGGAACGGUCUGGAAAGUCCGACGGUACAGGGUGAUAGUCCCGUACACCAAAAUGCACAGGCUGUGAACUCGAAGAGUAGGGCGGGACACGUGGUAUCCUGUCUGAAUAUGGGGGGACCAUCCUCCAAGGCUAAAUACUCCUGACUGACCGAUAGUGAACCAGUACCGUGAGGGAAAGGCGAAAAGAACCCCGGCGAGGGGAGUGAAAAAGAACCUGAAACCGUGUACGUACAAGCAGUGGGAGCACCUUUAUGGUGUGACUGCGUACCUUUUGUAUAAUGGGUCAGCGACUUAUAUUCUGUAGCAAGGUUAACCGUAUAGGGGAGCCGCAGGGAAACCGAGUCUUAACUGGGCGUUAAGUUGCAGGGUAUAGACCCGAAACCCGGUGAUCUAGCCAUGGGCAGGUUGAAGGUUGGGUAACACUAACUGGAGGACCGAACCGACUAAUGUUGAAAAAUUAGCGGAUGACUUGUGGCUGGGGGUGAAAGGCCAAUCAAACCGGGAGAUAGCUGGUUCUCCCCGAAAGCUAUUUAGGUAGCGCCUCGUGAACUCAUCUUCGGGGGUAGAGCACUGUUUCGGCUAGGGGGUCAUCCCGACUUACCAACCCGAUGCAAACUACGAAUACCGAAGAAUGUUAUCACGGGAGACACACGGCGGGUGCUAACGUCCGUCGUGAAGAGGGAAACAACCCAGACCGCCAGCUAAGGUCCCAAAGUCAUGGUUAAGUGGGAAACGAUGUGGGAAGGCACAGACAGCCAGGAUGUUGGCUUAGAAGCAGCCAUCAUUUAAAGAAAGCGUAAUAGCUCACUGGUCGAGUCGGCCUGCGCGGAAGAUGUAACGGGGCUAAACCAUGCACCGAAGCUGCGGCAGCGACACUAUGUGUUGUUGGGUAGGGGAGCGUUCUGUAAGCCUGCGAAGGUGGCCUGUGAGGGUUGCUGGAGGUAUCAGAAGUGCGAAUGCUGACAUAAGUAACGAUAAAGCGGGUGAAAAGCCCGCUCGCCGGAAGACCAAGGGUUCCUGUCCAACGUUAAUCGGGGCAGGGUGAGUCGACCCCUAAGGCGAGGCCGAAAGGCGUAGUCGAUGGGAAACAGGUUAAUAUUCCUGUACUUGGUGUUACUGCGAAGGGGGGACGGAGAAGGCUAUGUUAGCCGGGCGACGGUUGUCCCGGUUUAAGCAUGUAGGCUGGUUAUCCAGGCAAAUCCGGAUAAUCAAGGCUGAGGUGUGAUGACGAGGCACUACGGUGCUGAAGUAACAAAUGCCCUGCUUCCAGGAAAAGCCUCUAAGCAUCAGGUAACAUCAAAUCGUACCCCAAACCGACACAGGUGGUCAGGUAGAGAAUACCAAGGCGCUUGAGAGAACUCGGGUGAAGGAACUAGGCAAAAUGGUGCCGUAACUUCGGGAGAAGGCACGCUGGUGUGUAGGUGAAGUCCCUGCGGAUGGAGCUGAGACCAGUCGAAGAUACCAGCUGGCUGCAACUGUUUAUUAAAAACACAGCACUGUGCAAACACGAAAGUGGACGUAUACGGUGUGACGCCUGCCCGGUGCCGGAAGGUUAAUUGAUGGGGUUAUCCGUAAGGAGAAGCUCUUGAUCGAAGCCCCGGUAAACGGCGGCCGUAACUAUAACGGUCCUAAGGUAGCGAAAUUCCUUGUCGGGU
rnacentral:rRNA from 1 species